UACGAAGGGGGCUAGCGUUGUUCGGAUUUACUGGGCGUAAAGCGCACGUAGGCGGGUCGUUAAGUCGGGGGUGAAAUCCUGGAGCUCAACUCCAGAACUGCCUUCGAUACUGGCGACCUAGAGUCCGGAAGAGGUGAGUGGAGCUCCUAGUGUAGAGGUGGAAUUCGUAGAUAUUAGGAAGAACACCAGUGGCGAAGGCGGCUCACUGGUCCGGUACUGACGCUGAGGUGCGAAAGCGUGGGGAGCAAACAGG
rnacentral:rRNA from 1 species